rnacentral:tRNA from 1 species
GGAGAGAUGACCGAGCGGUCGAAGGUGCACGCCUGGAAAGCGUGUGUACGGAUAAAACCGUACCGAGGGUUCGAAUCCCUCUCUCUCCG